UACGGAGGGUGCAAGCGUUAAUCGGAAUUACUGGGCGUAAAGGGUGCGUAGGUGGUCGUGUAAGUUGUCUGUGAAAUCCCCGGGCUCAACCUGGGCAGGUCAGAUAAUACUGCAUGACUCGAGUAUAAGAGAGGGUAGUGGAAUUUCCGGUGUAGCGGUGAAAUGCGUAGAGAUCGGAAGGAACACCAGUGGCGAAGGCGGCUACCUGGCUUAAUACUGACACUGAGGCACGAAAGCGUGGGGAGCAAACAGG
rnacentral:rRNA from 1 species